rnacentral:rRNA from 1 species
UGAGGAAUAUUGGACAAUGGGUGAGAGCCUGAUCCAGCCAUCCCGCGUGAAGGAUUAAGGUCCUACGGAUUGUAAACUUCUUUUGUACAGGAAUAAACCUAUUUACGUGUAGAUAGCUGAAGGUACUGUACGAAUAAGCACCGGCUAACUCCGUGCCAGCAGCCGCGGUAAUACGGAGGGUGCAAGCGUUAUCCGGAUUUAUUGGGUUUAAAGGGUCCGCAGGCGGACUGAUAAGUCAGUGGUGAAAUCUCAUAGCUUAACUAUGAAACUGCCAUUGAUACUGUUGGUCUUGAGUAAAUUUGAGGUAGCUGGAAUAAGUAGUGUAGCGGUGAAAUGCAUAGAUAUUACUUAGAACACCAAUUGCGAAGGCAGGUUACCAAAAUUUAACUGACGCUGAGGGACGAAAGCGUGGGUAGCGAA